rnacentral:rRNA from 1 species
UACAGAGGUCCCAAGCGUUGUUCGGAUUUAUUGGGCGUAAAGGGUGCGUAGGCGGCGGAGUAAGUUGGGUGUGAAAUCCCGGGGCUCAACCUCGGAAUGGCAUUCAAUACUGCUUCGCUAGAGUACUGGAGAGGAGGCUGGAAUUUACGGUGUAGCAGUGAAAUGCGUAGAUAUCGUAAGGAAGGCCGGUGGCGAAAGCGGCUUCCUGGUCCAGCACCGACGUUCAGGCACGAAAGCGUGGGGAGCAAACAGG